rnacentral:rRNA from 1 species
CGUCGUAGAUGCGAUUCUGUGGGGUUUGAGGAGCUUAACACCUUCAUGCUUUCCAUAUUCGUGCUCUUGGGUGUAUUUGCCCGUGUGGUUGGUUAACAUCAAUUUUGGUGGUCAUAAAAUGACUGGAGGAAUGUAGCUUCGAUCUCGUAUUGAAGUGUUAUAGCCUUCGGUAGAUGUGAUGAUCGAGAUUGAGGAUUGCAACGGAUACCCUUCGGGGCUACCUGUCUGAUCUCUGAUCGUUGCUCUGGUGCCGAAAGCUUGCUUACGGUUAUCAAAGUCGAUGGUCAAUAGGUUAGAACGGGUUAAAUUCGUUAAGGAUGUUGACGUAA